CAGCCGCCGCGGUAAUACAGAGGGUGCGAGCGUUAAUCGGAUUUACUGGGCGUAAAGCGUGCGUAGGCGGCUAAUUGAGUCGGAUGUGAAAUCCCCGAGCUUAACUUGGGAAUUGCAUUCGAUACUGGUUAGCUAGAGUGUGGGAGAGGAUGGUAGAAUUCCAGGUGUAGCGGUGAAAUGCGUAGAGAUCUGGAGGAAUACCGAUGGCGAAGGCAGCCAUCUGGCCUAACACUGACGCUGAGGUACGAAAGCAUGGGGAGCAAACAGGAUUAGAUACCCGAGUAGUCCCUGUCUCUUAUAC
rnacentral:rRNA from 1 species